rnacentral:lncRNA from 1 species
GUAAAUUUGUUGCACAUAUAAAGCUAAUAUGGUGGAUAAACUUUGUGACAGUGUUUAAUCCUCACCUUCUCCUGAAGAUCUUCCGCUUCAAGUUCCUCCUCUACAAUUGCAGUUUUUUCCUCUUCCCCUUCAACAACUAGUUCUUCAGGUGCCUCUUCAGCCGUUGAUUCUUCAGGUUUCUCUUCAAGUGCUAGUUCUUCAGGUGUUUCCUCCUUUGCCAGCUCUUCAGGUGUUUCUUUAGAUGCCGAUUCUUCAGGUUUCUCUUCAGCCAUCGGUUCUUGAGGUAUUUCCUCUACUUGUACUUCAUAUUUCUCCUCAAUUGUUUGUUCUUCAGGUUUCUCUUCAGGUUUCUCCUUAACCACUGGUACAUCAGGUUUCUCUUGAUUAACUGGUUCUUUGGGUUUUUCUUCAACAGCCGAAUCUUCAGGAUUUUCCUCAAUGUCUUGAAAGCAAGCAAUAUCUUUAGUGGUAUUGCAUGGAAUUUCACUGCCAGUUUUGUUGUUCGAGUCUACAAUUAGCAUAUUCUGCAAAAGGAAUUUGAUGUUUCAUUUAGCCUUUUAAUAAAGAAGCAGAUGUGAAUAACAUUACAUGCAUAACUUACAAAAUGGAUAAAUUUUGUGACAGUCCUUGACCCUUACCUUUUCAGGUUUCUCCUCUUCAACAGCUGAUUCUUCAUGUUUCUCUUCAAAUGCUAGUUCUCUGGGUGUUUCUUCCCGUAGUGCUUCUUCAUGUGCUUCUUCAGUUACUGGUUUUUCAGGUUUCUCCUCAAUUGUUGGUUCUUUGAUUGUCUCCUCAACAGAUGGUUCUUCAAGCUUCUCUCCCGUUGUUGAUUUUUCUGGUUUCUCUUCAAUUGCUGGUUGUUCAGGAAUUUUCUCAACAGCUGGUUCUUCUGGCUUCUCUAAAACCAUUGAUUCUUCAGCUUUCUCUUCAAUUGAUGGUUCUUCAUGGUUUUUUUCAACUAUUGGUUCUUCAGUUUUUUCCUCAACGGAUGCAUAGUCAACAAUAUCAUUGUUGGUAUUGCUUGGAAUUGCAUCGUCUGUCAUGUCCUUUGAGUUUACUUUUGGCAUAUUCUACAAUAAAGUUUCAUGUAGUCUUUCAAUAGAUAAACAGAUGUAAAUUUGUUGCAACAUAUAAAGCUAAUAUGGUGGAUAAACUUUGUGACAGUGUUUAAUCCUCACCUUCUCCCGAAGAUCUUCCGCUUUAAGUUCCUCCUCUUCAAUUGCUGUUUUUUCAUCUUUCGUUUCAACAACUAGUUCUUCAGGUGCCUCUUCAGCCGUUGAUUCUUCAGGUUUUUCUUCAAGUGCCAGCUCUUCAGGUGUUUCCUCCUUUGCCAUCUCUUCAGGUGUUUCCUCCUUUGCCAGCUCUUCAGGUGUUUCUUUAGCUGCUGGUUCUUCAGGUUUCUCUUCAGCCGCCAGUUCUUGAGGUAUCUCCUUUUCUACUUCAGAUUUCUCCUCAACUGUUGGUUCUUCAGGUUUCUCUUCAUUAACUGGUUCUUUGGGUUUUUCUUCAACAGCCGAAUCUUCAGGAUUUUCCUCAAUGUCUGGAAAGUGAGCAACAUCUUUAUUGGUAUUGCAUGCAAUUUCACUGUCAGUUUUGUCGUUCAAGUCUACAAUUAGCAUAUUCUGCAAAAAGAAUUUGAUGUUUCAUUUAGCCUAUUAAUAAAGAAGCAGAUGUGAAUAACAUUACAUGCAUAACUUACAAAAUGGAUAAACUUUGUGAUGGUCCUUGACCCUUACCUUUCCAGGCUUCUCCUCUUCAACGGCCAGUUCUUGUUUCUCUUCAAAUGCUAGUUCCCUGGGUGUUUCUUCCUGUAUUGGUUCUUCAUGUGCUUCUUCAGGUACUGGUUUUUCAGGUUUCUCCUCAAUUGUUGGUUCUUCGAUUGUCUCCUCAACAGAUGGUUCUUCAAGGUUCUCUCCCGUUGUUGAGUCUUCUGGUUUCUCUUCAAUUGCUGGUUGUUCAGAAAUUUUCUCAACAGCUGGUUCUUCUGGCUUCUCCAAAACCAUUGAUUCUUCAGCUUUCUCUUCAAUUAAAGGUUCUUCAUGGUUUUUUUCAACUACUGUUUCUUCAGUUUUUUCCUCAACGGAUGCAUAGUCAACAACAUCAUUGUUGGUAUUGCUUGGAAUUGCAUCGUCUGUCAUGUCCUUUGAGCUUACUUUUGGCAUAUUCUGCAAUAAAGUUUCAUGUAGUCUUUCAAUAGAUAAACAGAUGUAAAUUUGUUGCACAUAUAAAGCCAAUAUGGUGGAUACACUUUGUGACAGUGUUUAAUCCUCACCUUCUCCUGAAGAUCUUCCGCUUCAAGUUCUUCCUCUUCAAUUGCUGUUUUUUCAUCUCUCUCUUCAACAACUUGUUCUUCAGGUGCCUCUUCAGCCGUUGAUUCUUCAGGUUUCUCUUCAAGCACUAGUUCUUCAGGUGUUUCCUCCUUUGCCAGCUCUUCAGGUGUUUCUUUAGCUGCCAGUUCUUCAGGUUUCUCUUCAGCUGCCGAUUCUUGAGGUAUUUCCUUUACCUGUACUUUAGAUUUCUCCUCAAAUGUUGGUUCUUCAGGUUUCUCCUUAACCGCAGGUACAUCAGGUUUCUCUUCAGCUGCUGGUUUUUGAGGUUUCUCCUCUACUUGUACCUCGGAUUUCUCCUCAACCAUCGGUUCUUCAGGUUUCUCCUCAACCUCUGGUACGUCAGGUUUCUCUUCAUUAACAAGUUCUUCACUUUUUUCUUCAAUAGUUGAUUCUUCAGGAUUUUCCUUAGUGUCUGGAGAGUAAGCAACAUCAUUAUUGGUAUUGCAUGGAAUUUCACUGCCAGUUGUGUCGUUCGACUCUACCAUUGGCAUAUUCUGCAGAAAGAAUUUAAUGUUUCACUUUGCCUUUCAAUAAAGAAGCCGAUGUAAAUCAGAGGACAUACAUAACUAAAAAAGAUGGAUUAACUUUGUGAUAGUGUUUGACUCUUACCUUUUCGAAAAGAGUUAUCUUUUCAGGUUUCUCCUCUUCAACUGUUGGUUCUUCAUGUUUCUCUUCAAAUGCUAGUUCCUCAGGUGUUUCUUCCUGUAUUGGUUCCUCAGGUGUUUCUUCUUCUGUUACUUGCUUUUCAGGUUUCUCCUCAAUUGUUGGUUCUUUGAUUGUCUCCCCAAUCGAUGGUUCUUCAAGCUUUCCCCCCCCUGUUGGUUUUUCAGGUUUCUCUUCAAUUUUCGGUUGUUCAGGUAUUUUCUCAACUGCCGGUUCUUCUGCCUUCUCCAACACCAUUGAUUCUUCAGAUUCCUCUUCAAUUGAUGAUUCUUCAUGGGUUUUUUUAACUACUGACUCUUCUGUGUUUUCCUCAACUGAUGCAUAAUCAGCAAUGUCGUUGUCGGUAUUGCUUGGAAUUGCAUUGUCUAUCUUGUCCUUUGAGUUUAAUUUUGGCAUAUUCUGCAAUAAAGUUUCAUGUAGUCUUUCAAUAGAUAAACAGAUGUAAAUUUGUUGCACUCAUAAAGCUAAUAUGAUGGAUAAAAUUUGUGACAGUGUUUAAUCCUCACCUUCUCCUGAAAAACUUCUGUUUCAAGUUCCUCCUCUUCAAUUGCUGCUUUUUCAUCUUUCUUCUCUACAACUAAUUCUUCAGGUUCCUCCUCAACGGUUGAUUCUUCAGGCUUUUCUUCAAGUACUAGUUCUUCAGGUGUUUCCUCCUUUGCUAGCUCUUCAGGUGUUCCUUUAGCUGCCGGUUCUUCUGGCUUCUCUUCAGCCUCCGGUUUUUGAGAUAUCUCCUCUACUUGAACUUUAGAUUUCUCAUUAAUUGUUGGUUCUUCAGGUUUCACCUCAACCGCUGGUACAUCAGAUUUCUCCUCAUUAACUGGUUCUUCAGGUUUUUCUUCAACAGCCAAUUCUUCAGGAAUUUCCUCAAUGUCUGGAAAGUGAACAACAUUAUUCUUCGUAUUGCAUGGAAUUUCACUGCCACUGUUGUCGUUCGAGUCUAUAAUUAGCAUAUUCUGCAUAAAGAAUUCAAUGUUUUACUUAGCCUUUCAAUAAAGAAGCAGGUGUGAAUCACAAUACAUGCAUAUCUAACAAAAUGGAUAAACUUUGUGAUAGUGCUUGGCCCUUACCUUUUCUAAAAGAGUUUCCUUUUCAGGUUUCUCCUCUUCGAUGGCUGGUUCUUCAUGUUUCUCUUCAAAUGGUAGUUCAUUUGGUGUUUCUUCUCGUGUUGGUUCUUCAGGUGCUUCCUCAGUUACUGGUUUUACAGGUUUCUCUUCAACUGUUAGUUCUUCGAGUGUCUCCUCCAUCGAUGGUUCCUCAAGUUUCUCUCUUGCUGCUGGUUUUUCAGAUUUAUCUUCAACUAUCGGUUGUUCAGGUUUAUUCUCAAUCGCUGGUUCUGCAGGCUUCUCCGAAACCGCUGAUUCUUCAGAUUUCUCUUCAAUUGGUGAUUCUUCGUGUUUUUUUUCAACUACGGGUUCUUCAGUUUUUUCCUCAACUGAUGCAUAAUCAGCACUAUCAUUGUUGGUAUUGCAUGGAGUUGCAUUUUCUGUCUUGUUCUUUGAGCCUACAAUUGGUGAAUUCUGCAAAAAAUUUAAAAUUUCAUUUAGUCUUUAAAUAGAUAAACAGAUGUAAAUUCAUUGCACAUAUAAAGCUAAUAUGAUAGAUAAACUUUGUGACAGUGUUUAAUCUUCACCUUCUCCUGAAGAGCUUCCAUUUCUAGUUCCUCCUCUUCACUUGCUGGUUUUUCAUCUUUCUCUUCAACAACUAGUUCUUCAGGUGUCUUUAUAGUCUUUGAUUCUUCAGGUGCUUCUUUAUCUGCCCGUUCUUCAGGUUUCUCUUCAGCCACCGGUUCUUGAGGUAUAUUCUCUUGUACUUCAGAUCUCUCCUCAAUUAUUGGUUCUGCAG